AUGACCACAACUGCCCCGCUCGGAUCCGGGAUCCCUGCCGCCGCCUCGCCCUCCCCCAGCCGCACCCCCGAUCCCCGUGCCUCGCUGCUCCCUCCUCCCCCAGACGCGCCCCCAAUCCCGCCGGCGAACCUCGCACCAGACGUGCCGCCAAUCCCAGCGCCGCACCACCCUCCUCAUCUAGCUGCCACUCGAGGUGUUGAAGACCGGGCGGUGAUUCGGCUUGGGGGCGAUUCGGGAGGAAGAAGGGCGGUGGGGACUUGCUAGCGGCAGAUCUGGGCCAAAUAGAUCGGCAAGUGUUAGUGCGGCUGUGACAGAUUUAGGCCUCCAGGAUUGACGAGUAAACAUCCCUUGCCCUGCUCGUGCGUGAGGAUGCAGAUGUAUAUAGUAAUCAGGUUUGCAACUUCCGCAUCGCGAUUUAAACCAAGGAUCACGGAAGGCAGGAAGGUGGCAGGGUUCUCGGACAUCCAUGGGGACAUCACUAAUGGCCACAGGCAGACCAUGAGGUGGUAGAUACCAGCGGCCGGCAUCCGGGAGCAUCUCAUCCGGACUCACGCCCAAUCCGCAAGCAUCA